GAUGACUGCACAGUACGAACGGCAACCAAAGGAGGUCCUGAUAGCUAGAAGAAUGCUGCGGUUCCCAACAGAGUGAGCUGACUGCUGCCAUGACGUGUGCCUCUAACUGGAACUUAGCCUGAUUGAGAAAAAAAGCCCCUCCAUCCAUGAGAAUGAGCUGACUGCUGCCAUGACGUGCCUCUAACUGGAACUUAGCCUGAUUGAGAAAAAAAGCCCGUCCAUCCAUGAGAAUGAGCUGACUGCUGCCAUGACAUGUGCCUCUAACUGGAACUUAGCCUGAGUGAGACAAGAAGCCCCUCCAUCCAUG